rnacentral:rRNA from 1 species
ACCGGCGAUACCCGAAUGGGGAAACCCAGUGUGACUCGUCACACUAUCAUUAACUGAAUCCAUAGGUUAAUGAGGCGAACCGGGGGAACUGAAACAUCUAAGUACCCCGAGGAAAAGAAAUCAACCGAGAUUCCCCCAGUAGCGGCGAGCGAACGGGGAGGAGCCCAGAGCCUGAAUCAGCAUGUGUGUUAGUGGAAGCGUCUGGAAAGGCGCGCGAUACAGGGUGACAGCCCCGUACACAAAAGCGCAUGUGCUGUGAGCUCGAUGAGUAGGGCGGGACACGUGGUAUCCUGUCUGAAUAUGGGGGGACCAUCCUCCAAGGCUAAAUACUCCUGACUGACCGAUAGUGAACCAGUACCGUGAGGGAAAGGCGAAAAGAACCCCGGCGAGGGGAGUGAAAAAGAACCUGAAACCGUGUACGUACAAGCAGUGGGAGCACAGGUUUACCUGUGUGACUGCGUACCUUUUGUAUAAUGGGUCAGCGACUUAUAUUCUGUAGCAAGGUUAACCGCAUAGGGGAGCCGGAGGGAAACCGAGUCUUAAUUGGGCGUUAAGUUGCAGGGUAUAGACCCGAAACCCGGUGAUCUAGCCAUGGGCAGGUUGAAGGUUGGGUAACACUAACUGGAGGACCGAACCGACUAAUGUUGAAAAAUUAGCGGAUGACCUGUGGCUGGGGGUGAAAGGCCAAUCAAACCGGGAGAUAGCUGGUUCUCCCCGAAAGCUAUUUAGGUAGCGCCUCGUGAAUUCAUCUCCGGGGGUAGAGCACUGUUUCGGCUAGGGGGCCAUCCCGGCUUACCAACCCGAUGCAAACUGCGAAUACCGGAGAAUGUUAUCACGGGAGACACACGGCGGGUGCUAACGUCCGUCGUGAAGAGGGAAACAACCCAGACCGCCAGCUAAGGUCCCAAAGUCAUGGUUAAGUGGGAAACGAUGUGGGAAGGCCCAGACAGCCAGGAUGUUGGCUUAGAAGCAGCCAUCAUUUAAAGAAAGCGUAAUAGCUCACUGGUCGAGUCGGCCUGCGCGGAAGAUGUAACGGGGCUAAACCAU